GUAGUCUUCAUCAUCCUCAUCAUCAUCAUAAUCAACAAGCCCCCCAGAUCUCAUGGGUGAGACACUUGGAACAGAUCCAUUAGGCAAGGCCGGCUGAGACUGCGCUCUACUUGCAUUAGUCACGGAUGCUGAGGCAGAAUCUUCCUCGUCACUCUCUUCAUUGAAAUAUUCUUCUUCUUCUUUCUCUAAACAACGGUCAUCAACUCGUUUCCUAGGG
rnacentral:misc_RNA from 1 species